AAUCAACGCUGGCGGCGUGCCUAACACAUGCAAGUCGAACGCGAAAGUGGAGCAAUCCAUGAGUAGAGUGGCAAACGGGUGAGUAACGCGUGGGCGACCUACCUUCGAGUGGGGGAUAACCUUCCGAAAGGAGGGCUAAUACCGCAUGACAUCCCGUGUUUGGAUACACGGACAUCAAAGCCGGGGAUCGCAAGACCUGGCGCUUGAAGAGGGGCCCGCGUCCGAUUAGCUAGNGGUGAGGUAACGGCUCACCAAGGCUCCGAUCGGUAUCCGGCCUGAGAGGGCGGACGGACACACUGGAACUGAGGCACGGUCCAGACUCCUACGGGAGCAGCAGUGGGGAAUUGUUCGCAAUGGGCGCAAGCCUGACGACGCAACGCCGCGUGGAGGAUGAAGAC
rnacentral:rRNA from 1 species